rnacentral:rRNA from 1 species
CACGUAGUUAGUCGUGGCUUUCUUGAAAAGUACCGUCAAGUAGAACUCAUUUCCUAAUUCUACCAUUCUUUCUUAACAACAGAGUUUUACAACCCAUAGGGCCUUCAUCACUCACGCGGCAUUGCUCGCUCAGGGUUUCCCCCAUUGACGAAUAUUCCUAACUGCUGUCUCCCGUAGGAGUCUGGGCCGUGUCUCAGUCCCAGUGUGGCCGAUUAACCUCUCAGUUCGGCUACGCAUCGCUGUCUUGGUAGGCCAUUACCCCCACCAACUAACUAAUACGCCGCAGGCCCAUCUCUAAGCGAAGCUUUAAGGGCUUCUUUACUCCGUAGAGCACAUUCGGUAUUAUCAACCGUUUCCAGUUGUUAUCCCCAAUUAGAGGCAGGUAACCCACGUGUUACUCACCCGUUUGCCACUAGGUGGAAAAUCCAAAUCCAUCUUUGUGCAAGCACUCAGACUUUCAAUGGGCCACCUCGUUCGACUUGCAUGUCUUAGGCUAGUGCCCGCCAGCCGUUUCACUUCCUGACG